CAGCCGCCACGGUAAUACAGAGGGUGCAAGCGUUAAUCGGAAUUACUGGGCGUAAAGCGCGCGUAGGUGGUUUGUUAAGUCGGAUGUGAAAUCCCCGGGCUCAACCUGGGAACUGCAUCCGAAACUGGCAAGCUAGAGUAUGGUAGAGGGUAGUGGAAUUUCCUGUGUAGCGGUGAAAUGCGUAGAUAUAGGAAGGAACACCAGUGGCGAAGGCGACUACCUGGACUGAUACUGACACUGAGGUGCGAAAGCGUGGGGAGCAAACAGGAUUAGAUACCCCCGUAGUCCCUGUCUCUUAUAC
rnacentral:rRNA from 1 species